UACGAAGGCCAAGAAAGACAAUUAUGACAAUCUUCCGAAAGAAACACAAAGUGAUGGAACAGACCGUGUAGAGUCAACAGACCAUGCCACAGAACAUGACACUCCAUCACCAUCAACUGUUGAAAUACAUACUGAAACCAGGGAGCAUGCUUUUGACGACCUUCUCAAGACAAUAGCAAAGCAGAUUCAUAAGAAUGAUGACAUCGACAGUCUAGGCGGGCAAUUGGGUUUUGAACCUCCGGAAAUACAACGAUACAUACAAAAAAACGAAAAAUACCACGAUGUUACAUGCAUGGGAACACUGAGUAUGCUUCGGGAUUGGAGGGACAGGACUAUAAGGUCUGAAGAACAUGCAAAAUUGAAGAAAGCCCUGAUUGCGAUUAAACACAUUCGUCUGGCAGAUGACCUCCUGAAGGACAAUAUUGCAAGUUCUGACCUAGGAAAUUAGAUCAAAGUAAAUAGUCAAAAUGUGGUUGCAUGGUUUAAUUUUGUAUCAAGCAUGCUAAUUACCUCUCUUUAUACAUACGUAAAAUACUGGUACAUAAAGGCGAAAAAGUUUUUUACUUGCCUUCUUUACAUUGCAAUUUUAAAUUUCUGUAAGACUUCAAAUCUGAUAUGAAGCCCUCUCUUAAACAAAAAACAAAAUUAUUCUAGGCCACAGGUUUAAAAAAAAAAAAAAUCACACCUAAUGUGCAAAUAAUCCUCUCCUCAAACCUAGAGAUGGAUAGAUUGACAGGGGAGGAUAUUGGGGAAAGAAAAUCAGUGAUAAUUAAUUACUGAUAAAUUAUGUAUGAUGAAUUUAGCCAAAAUUAUUUUGUGAAUCACGAAAUGUCUUUCUACAUUCACUGACCAAGUGUUGCAUGUGUGUAUCUUUUGAAAAUGAUAGAAUGCAAUCUCAUUAUUAUCAUUAGUUGACAAAUUUAUCAUAAAGUGUUACUGCCAGGGUGCAGUUAGGAAGGAAUAGGUUUGCAGCUGAAAUAUGUGUCUUGCAAUCAAACAGCCCUGCAUACUUACUUACUGGUUGUUUGUACCAUUUUUACAAAGGAGAUUCAUGUAUUAAUGUUCAAGCAAAUUCUUAUUGCUGCUUCUUUAGUGAAUUAUAUGAGUAUAUGUUCUACUCAUGGAAGUAUAACUUCUUUUAAUUGAAUGUAGAUUAUGAAAUAUAUUUAAGACAACUCAUUAUUUCUGCGUAGUAUCAAUAUAAUAUUAUAUCAGAGAACUUUAAAAUGCAAUUUCAUGUGAUAAAUUAUGUAUUAUGAUCAAAGAUUUACAGUUUAAAUAUAAAUAUAAAUAUUCAUCUUAUUGUUAAGGUGUCAGUGUACGUCAGACUUAUGUUUUAUGAUCAAAGAUCUACAGUACUAGAAAUAUAAAUAUUCAUCUUAUUGUAAAGAUGUCAGUGUACGUCACUGCCAGACUUAUGUUUUAUGCGGAUCAAAGAUCUACAGUACUAGAAAUGUAAAUAUUCAUCUUAUUGUAAAGAUAUCAGUGUACGUCACUGCCAGGCUCUGAAUCAAUUGUUCCAAGACACAGCACAAACUGUCAUUUACCCAGCAUGUGCCACCAUUUAAAUCGGAGAAAAUAAAUCAUGUCAAGACUCCAGGAGACCAUAUGUGAUUAUGCAUUCACGUAGAGGUGUCAUAUGCGAGUGGUUUAAUGUUUUAACACUCUUGACUGGACAUGGGAAGGUCAUGAGUUCAAGCCCUUGCUGGCAUGUGUGUGUCCUUUGAGACAUUAAUCAACGUUAACCAUUUUCCACCCAAGUGUUAAAUUGAUACAGGUAGGGAGGAAUUAUUUUAAUCUUUGUAUAGUAAAACUAUAUUUUUAACAUGUAAAAUAAAGAUGCAUUUUAGAUUAUCAUUGCUGCUGUUUGAUUAUGAAUUGUCUUGCCACUGCUUGUUGACAAUUAUUUUACAAAAAAUAUAUUUGUCUCAAGUAAUAUUACAUGUACAUAUUUGUUAACAUAUCCUAAGAGAAUUCCAGUGCAAGGAAUGGUUUGGGAUGGCUCCAUGUGAUGUAAAAACAUUUCCACUAUUGAAAACACAUUGAUGUGUGACGUCAACCAGGGUAUAUCCUGGAUACACCGUUUGACAUCACAUAGCCCAUGCAAACAUCAGUGCACGUCAGCCAACAAUGUGCUUAUGUGACCGAGCAUUGGCGAACUUGGCCCCAAAGUGACACAUUUUCUUAUAUUUUUU